GGCGGUAAAUUUGUUUUUAGAGGAGCUUGCUUAWUAAUUGACUUUACUCAUUAAAUUUAACUUUAUUAGGUUUAUUUAUCUCCGUUAUCAGGAUAUAUUUAAUUUAAUUCUAUUUUUUAAUUUUAUUUCAGGUCAAGAUGUAGCUUAAUAGAGGUAAAGUGAGCUACAUUUUAGAAUGAGUGGUUUAUUAAGUUGGGUUUGGUAUUAAAAUGGAUUUAGAAGUAUUUUUUUUUAUGAUUAGGAGGGGAAUUUUUUAAAUUUAUGUACACAUC
rnacentral:rRNA from 1 species